CACUUUGACGGCACCCUCAAUAUUCUUCUUUAGUCCUCCUGGUGAAGAGGCGCCCAAAACAGAGAUGGAUUUAAAUCAAGUGUGGCUGGGAUGUGCUCACAGGCUGGUGCUAUAAGCCUCAGUCUGUGUCCACAGGAGGCCAUUGUGCAGAGACUUUGGUGCCAGCACUGCAGCCUCUGUUCUGCACUGUUGAAAUUGGCACCCUGUGUGGGCCUCGAUAAUCUCGCUCGUUCCCAUUAAAAUGUCCAGUUAAUAUUGCCUGAAGGGCAGAGUUACCUGUGGACCAGGGAGUUCCCAUGUGAGGAGCAAUUACUAGCUUGCUAUUGAACAUUAAUGGAAAUUGUUCCUAUGAUUGAUUGAAGGACAUAAAAUAGUCUAAUUUUUUUUUUUUUUUUUUUUUUUAGACAAGGUCUUGCUCUGUCACCAAGGCUGGAGUGCAGUGGUGAAAUCUCAGCUCACUGCAGCCUCUACCUCCUCGGCUCAAGCAAUCCUCCUACAUAAGCCUCCCAGAUAGCUGGGGCUAUAGGUAUGCACCACCACGCCCAGCUAAUUUUUGUAUUUUUUGUAGAGAAGGCAUUUUGCCAUGUUUCCCAGGUCGGUUUCUAACUCCUGGACUCAAGUGAUCCCCCUGCCUCAGCCUUCCAAAGUGCUGGAAUUACAGGCAUGAGUCAUUGUGCCUGGCCAUAUAGUAGUCUUGAAAUGUGAAAUACUCAAUGUCUUGGGUGAUAUUGGAGAGAUGCUGUAACAGAGAUCGGUGCCCCAAAGAGUUCCAUAAUAAAAUGGAAAUGUUUUAUGUAGUAUCAUCACACUGGCAGAUUGAACAGAGUUACUCAUUGCACUCAAGAACAGGUAGUCAAAUGCAUGGAAAUGGUAGACUGGUGGUUGCCAAGAGCAGGGGGAGGGGAGACGGGGUUGGGGGUGGUCAAGAGAAGAUAGGGACAGGUGGAGGUAGGGUACAGAUGGAGAUGAUUAGUUUGGUGAUCUUCAGUGGUCAGUGCACUAAAGAUCAUGGGAAAGGAACUGUUAUGGCCUGA
rnacentral:lncRNA from 1 species